GGUUUCUUCUUUCUUCUAUAGCCAACGAAUUCCAAAUCGCUCUUGCUCUCACUCGAAUCAACAAAUUUCUCUCGGUCUCCUCGCACAGAAAUGCAAAACCAACCUGGAUAUACCAUAUGCUUCUGGAGGUUUCUUCUUUCUUCUACAUCCAAAGAAUUGACUUGCGUCGGUUUCUUCUUUAGCCAUAUAACCAAGAUUGAGAGAGUUGAUUGUUGCUCCUGCAAAUCAUUCCUUGCUUUUGAUCUGCGAAUUUCUAUUUGGUUCCUGCAGUCCCCUUUUCUCGCUCUCCUCACUGUGAACUCUUUACCUGAUUUCUUCAAAUCAGUGUAUAUGUGAUUGAUUUAGGAAUUGGGCUCUGCUAUUGCAGUAAGUAUCAAAACCAGGGACUCAGGUAGGUUUGAUGAGUCUUUUUCGUGAAAGAUUUGUUGGGUUGUUUGUGAUUGUUUGGUUCACUGUUGAAUCCCAAGGUUUGAGAUAUUUUUUUUUUAUCUGGGUUUUGUUCUUCUGCUGUUAACGUUUGAAUCUAUCGCAUUCGAGAAGCCUCCAUCGCUAUCUAGAGUUCCUGUUAACGGACAACAGGCUUCCAGUCAAAAUCAAGAUCAGGAAAAUCUCGGUAAGCGUCGUAUUUCGUUUCAUCGUUCUAUCUAACAAAUGCCUACUGUAAUCGAUAUAUGAUUUCAAUUUAUUUUCAAUUCUCCGCUAUCAGUUCCAGUCAAAAUCGAGCAGAAAAGUGUUUAUGUUUAUUGUUUAAUAAAGUCACUAAAAUUUCUACCUAUGUUUAUCGCUAUUUGGACCAAUGUCUAAAACAUGAUGCAAGCUGUGUUUCACGAAGUUAACUAUAACCAAAGUAGUUAUUUUUGUUUGGCAGCUGAUCAGCAGAUACCGUUUAUCAGUAGCAGCCAGGUCAAUUGUAUUGCUCAUCUAUUCAGUCUGCUUUCAAGUAUGAAACAAACUAUUGCAAGAUACAACAAGUGUGACGAGUCUUCAGAGACCGCUUUGGUAGAAUCAAUGGCAGAGGGACUGUUGUGAUUCUUUUUUUGAGGUGCAGAAUUGUGUACAGUAGCACCUCUUGCCAUGAUGUUUUUAACUUGGAAUGAUAGGGAAAGCUUUUUUGAAGCGGCUGAAAGUGUUCCUGGGGUAAUUUUUUUUCAACUUAGUUCUUUGUUAUUUAGAUUUGGUUGUACUGAAUUUAAUUGUGAUUUAUAUUCUUAUCGAUUUUGUGAAGGUUUGGGAUGAACAAAAGCAGGGAAGUUUUGAUUCUAUCUGAUAUGAAUGUAUUCCUUGAUUGAUGACUAAGAUUGCUUUUGCUACAGUCUUGCAAUUUCAAUUUCAAAAGUGAAGUAGAAUAAAACUUCUGGAUUCUGCCUUACAUGACAGAUUUUGUCUGACCACUUUGGUUGCAAUUUUUGCAUCCCUUGGAUUUUCAGUUAAUGCCAUGGAGAUUGGUGAAUGAGAUUCAUUGAACUGCUAUGCAGGCUCUUGAUGAGCUCGAGUUAGAGCGAGUUUUAGGAUGAUACUGAAUGUUGGAUUAGCUUGGCAGUAUUGGUGGUUUGGUGCAACAGUAACUUUAUUUGUUCUUGCCUCUCUAUUUCAGACAUCAUUCGCCAUAUGUAUCAAUCGGUUCAAAAUCCCUCUGUGAAUUUCAGUAUUGGUGGAUAACAUACAGUCGCAUCAUGAAAAGGGAUCCCACUUCCAAUGUCAUGACCGAGACAGAAAUAGGAAGACUUUGAGAAAUACAAAGGAUGCUUAUGCAGAUAGCAGAUUAAAGUUUUGAGUUCUGAAAUUUUUUCUGAUGCAAAGACUAUUAAGGUCGCUUGAAUAUAUGACGAUACUUGGAGCGUCUGUCAAGGAUCUGAACCCAUGAAGUCAAGGUUGUUGUGUUGCCACUUUUGAGAGAUUCUAUUUGUUUCAAGUGCAGAGACAGAGACAGACUGUGAAAGGAAAAAAGGAGUGAUCGAUCUGGAUUUAUUUGACAAGAGGUGUAGAGAUAGAGAGAAAUUGUGAAAGCAGAAGAGGAGGAAUCGGUGUUGGAGAAGAGGCUUCAAACAUAGAAGACAGGACAUCAGUUGAUAGCAGGUAAUAUAGAAAGAAGAACAGGGAUCUGGGUCUGAGUUUGUUUUGGAUUGCUCAUCUAUUUGUGUCUUUAUUUUUCUUCUCAUACUGAGUUUUUGUUUUGAAAUGCUCCGGUGAAUUGGUUUCAGACUAAAUUCCUGUUAGCUUUGUAGUUAUCGGUUUGCUUGCAUAAUUGUUAUCAGCUUCAUAGUUGUUGCUUUCAUGGUUGUGCAUUGGAUUAUCAUUUGAACAGAAUUUGCAGCUCCA